ensembl:snRNA U6 U6 spliceosomal RNA
GUGCUUCCUUUGGCAGCACAUAUGUAAAAGUUGGAAUGAUGCAGAGAAGUUUAGCAUGGCCCUUGUGCAAAGAUGAUGUACAGAUUCCUGGAUUGUUCCAUAUUAAC